GUAGACAGAGACAGGACUAUACGUACCAACAUGUAGACAGAGACAGGACUAUACAUACCAACAUGUAGACAGAGACAGGACUAUACAUACCAACAUGUAGACAGAGACAGGACUAUACAUACCAACAUG